ACGAAGUAGCAAUACUUAGUGGCAGACGGGUGAGUAACAUGUGGGUAUCUGCCCUUUGGCCUGGAAUAACACGAGGAAACUUGUGCUAAUACCGGAUAAGUCUUUACGGAGAAAGCUUUAUGCACCAUUGGAUGAGCCCGCACUUGAUUAGUUUGUUGGUGGGGUAAUGGCUCACCAAGACUGUGAUCAAUAGCUGAUUUGAGAGGAUGAUCAGCCACAUUGGGACUGAGACACGGCCCAAACUCCUACGGGAGGCAGCAGUGGGGAAUCUUGCACAAUGGAGGAAACUCUGAUGCAGCGAUGCCGCGUGAGUGAAGAAGGCCUUUGGGUUGUAAAGCUCUUUCGUCGGGGAAGAAAAUG
rnacentral:rRNA from 1 species